AUGGUGAAUGUUCCCCAAACCCACCAGACUUUCUGUAAGAAGUAUCACAAGCACCAACUCCACAAAGUGACAUAGUCCAAGAAGGGCAAGGAUUCUCUGUGUGUCUAGGGAAAGCAGCAUUAUGACAGGAAGCACAGUGGCUAUGGUGGGCAGAGUAAGCCGAUUUUCCAGAAAAAAGCUAAAACUACAGAGAAGAUUGUGCUAAGGCUUGAGUGUGUUGAGCUCAAUUUCAGAUCUGAGAAAAUGUGGCUAUUAAGAGAUGCAAGCACUUUGAACUGGGAGGAGAUAAGUGAAAAGGCCAAGUGAUCCA
rnacentral:lncRNA from 1 species